GUGUGGAUGGUUAAACAUGCUCAAAACUGGGCUGAGUGUCUGAAUAAAAGUAUCAUUGCUACAAUGAAAACCAGAGGGUGAAACAGAAAAUGAUUUUAACAGAAAAAGUUUAUUUUAAGAAGACACAAACAGCUCUAGCUAUAUAAAGAAUACAGUUCAAUUGCUGGUAGCAAGCCAGUAAGGAAUGCCUUUUUUUUUUUAAAGAAAGACAAGAAAAACCCUUUGUAAUAUCACCCCACAGAGGGCUCCCUUCCAUUUUGUGUUGGAAUCCUAAAAAGACUGAGAUCGUGAUCUCUCCUACUUUCUGCUUCUUCUUGAAAUGUUAGGGACACAUUGGGUAACAAGGAUAGGUCUGGGGAAAAAAAUGAGGGUUUCUACACUGAGGUAGUCAGUAAUGAGAGAGAGAGAGAGCUCAUGAAGGACACUCUAUUGAAGAGUAAUGGUUGGCAUAUGCAGCCCCCCUCCACCUGCUCCUGUGCAGUCAGUCUGGUCUGACAAUGCAGUAGAUGGGAAGGCAAUAAACCACAUCAGCUACUGCACAACUCAGUUAUCACAUGGGGCAGCUCACAGAAAUGCUUGUCUCAGAAGACAGUCUGGAUCAGGGGUCAGCCUAAGGCUUUGCAUAGCCCAUGAGCUAAGAAUAGUUUAUAUUGGCAGGGUGCGGUAGCUCACACCUGUAAUCCCAGCACUUUGGGAGGCCGAGGUGGGCGGAUCACAAGGUCAGGAGAUCGAGAACAUCCUGGCCAACAUGGUGAAACUCUGCCUCUACUAAAAAUACAAAAAAAAAAAAAAUAUUAGCUGGGCAUGGUGGCACGCACCUAUAGUCCCAGCUACUCGGGAAGCUGAGGCAGGAGAAUUGCCUGAACCCGGGAGGUGGAGGUUGUAAUGAGCCGAGAUUGUACAAUUGCCCUCCAGCCUGGCUACAGAGAGAGACUCUGUCAAAAAAAAAGAGAGUGGUUUACAUUAUCCAAAGGUUGCAAAACAAACGAAUGAACAAACAGCAACAACAAAGAAGAAUGUGCUACAGAGACCACAUGUAGCCCACAAAGCCUAAAAUAGUUACUGUCUUAACCUUUACAGAAUUUGUCAAUCUCCCAUCUAGAUGAUGGGGGAAACCUCACCAAUCUCUGGUGAGAAGCCUCUAAGCAUCCUCGAAAAGAGAAACGAGAGGAAGUCCAGGAGAAACAAGGGAACAAUGGAAAAUAAAUGGAAAUGCCAAUCAAUUUGACUAGUGUGGCUCUAAAAGAUGCAUGGCUUGCAAUUCCACAGAAUAGUAAGGUAUGCAUGUACUAAGGAAGGAGGCCCCAACUAAAGAGAGAGCCACACUAAGGAACAUUAGGCAAAGAAUGUUCUGGAAAAGAGACUGCAUGCGGAGCUUAGUACUGAUUAGGGAAUUCUGUUAUUGUUUGAUAAGAUGGAGCUGGAAUUUGAGCCCAGGGAUUGACAGAAUAUCAAGCCAGGUGAAAUUUCUAGAACACAACUAAAUAUCUCAUGAGCAUUUAACAGUCUGAAAAUUUCUCAUAAAGAUUAAGAAGGGAAGGCUAAAGUAGACUCUGGGAAAGCUAAUAUUGGUUGGGUUGUACCCUACUUUUAAAUAAACACCAAAUACAAAAGUUUGCACUAAAAAAAGUAGAGACAUUAUGGGACAAUGACAAGAGGAAUCUCGGUUUUUCAAAAAGAAGUCACCAGAAGGUUCCCUUACAUAGGAAGUUUACCUCUAAAAAAUGAUACUUGAUAUCUAAAAAACUCAUUUUUCACACAACUUUUAGGGAAAACAUCCAUUGUACUAAGUAGGGUGCACAUAUUGAAUUUGGAGGGAAACUAAUGUUUAUAAACUGAAAAUCCAAUUUGUCUUUGGAUUAAUGAAUUAAAGAACUCUUGAACAUUUUCCCUUAAAGCAUAUAUAUUAGUUCAUUGAAAUACCUGGGAAAUUCAUGUGUCAUAAAAGUAGAAGCCAGCUGUGGGUCUUCUAUAAAUUGUAGUGCUUUAAAUGAAACCAGAUUGGGCCCAAGGGCAGGAGACCUGGAAUUGAGGCUGGGCCCCACCACUGACUCACUGUGUGACCUUGUAUAUAAGUUAUUUGACCUUUCUGGGCCUCAGCUUCCUCAUGUGUGAAAUGAGAGAGGUUGGUCCCUUUCAGCUCUAACAUUCCAAGACUGCAGAUAAAUAUAGAAAUAAGAUAAAUACAACAAUCUAGAAAUAAGAAAUAUAGCCCAAAGUAAGCUUUGGAGUCAGUAGAAAAAAGUAGCAGUGAAAUAUAAUAAAAAGAAUAAAACUUUAACCACUAGCCAGGGUAAAUAUAUCUCAUUUAAAAAUGAAUGAAAAGGUUUGUAAUUUACAAUUCAUCAGAAGACCUCAGCACAUACAUAUAUUGAUAUUUCUUCGCCAUGAUACACAUGGGGGAAGGAAUGAGUUUGAGGUGACUUGUACAAUGAGCACAAUGCUGCGUUUGCAUGCACAACAUUUUAUAAAAUUGGAUGUUAGAAAAAGCUCAAGACCACCUAAGGAAUAAAUGUCUAUAAAGCUUGGCAUUACAAAGAGGCUGAGAGGGGUUAACUAGUUGUUCCAGUUCAGAUUUUGUUUUGGAGUUCGUUGCUAUCAAAUUCUACUAUUUAGGCAAAAAUCUUAAAAUCAAAUAUACUUCUGCCAGAGCCUUACUGGAGAACAGCCACCACGGUAAAGACAGGUAUUUAAGAGCUGGCAAUACCAAACAAACUUAACACCUUUCCCUUUUUUCCAUUUGUGAGUUAAAAAAAAUCUUUUUUUUUUUUUUAAACCCAAAGCAGGCCAGAUGGGCUGGCUAAGUCUAAUCAAAGAUUUUGCAGGUUGAGCAAUUUGUUGAUCCAAUAUGAUAAGUUCUUUUUAAUUUUUUUCGAGCAUAUGCACCGGAGUCCCAUAAAACAUGAGACUCCUCAAUCUGAUAAUUUCUUAAAACCAAGCAAACAUAUGCCUGACCAAGAUAACAAUAUACACCUCUUGGCCAGAGACUGGUCCUUAUGAUGAGAGCCAGAAUAAUGGUAAAGGUUGGAAUCAGUUGGAGAGUCGUGGCUAUAGUGAUUCAGGGGCUUGAAGGAGUAACAUCACUGGAAUGCACAUACACACACACACACACACACACACACACACACACACACAUACACUCUCUCUCUCUCUCUUUCUCCCUCUCCAGGGAUGCUGCUGUUGCUGCUCCUGGAACUGCACUUUGAGAACCAUUGGCCUAGAUUUUGGGCUUUACUGAACAAAAGUAUAAUGCCCAUUUCACAUUGCUCAUUACUCAUGCAAAUUUCUUCUUGCUAACCUUAUUAAAAAUGCCCCAAAUGUGUGUCUAUAACUAUUUACUAUGUAUUCCUCUAUAAAUCUGUUUCAAAGUAUUCUAAAAUUUGCUUAUUUCAUAUUAUGUUUAUAUCAUUAUACUUUUUGCUGCCUUUUGACAAAGGCACUUCCUUAUACAUCUUUCCCACUCUCUUAUCCUUUUAAAUCCCUAAUAUCCUUGUCACUUGUAGCUGAAAUACAUGCAAAGCCUUUGAAAGGAUUGGGGGCUGUGGUAUAGAUAUAGUCUCAUUUUCACACCAAGCUGGACUGAUAGCCCAUAACAGAGAUGAAGCAGGGAAAGCAGAAGCUUGUAAAGGUAAGCUUAUUGGAGGUAAAGUUGUACCUCCAAUAAGUUUAAUAAUCACCACCAAUACUGGACGACUGACAUUGAUUGGACAUGGAUUGGACAGUUUCACCUUUCACAAACAGGACAUAUUUUCACAGACUCUUCAAUUCCUUGUGUUCUUUACUCAAAUGGUAAGUAGUAUUAAUUCCAUUUAUGUAAAAAUGUCAAUGUACAAUAUGAAUGAUCUAGGCCUUCUCAGUGGCUUUUAGUAGCCAUUUCUGAGAGUCCCUUGGUAGUAACCAUAUUGAAUAGCAUUGGAUAUCAGGACAAUUUAAUUGACCAUCAGCUAGUAACUCAAAUGAUUCCAGGCGAUUAAGAUAUUUUCUAUAUUCUGGAGUUAGGCGUCAGGGAAUUUGGCCUUUCCAUGGUGAAAAAUACACUUCUACAACUAGUUGAUGCCUAACAUUCUGCAAGUAGAACUUCAUUCCAUUGGCUUAAGGCUUUUCCCUUGUUAAAAUGCAACUGACCCUCAAAAGAGGUAGCAUUAAGCCUUAUAAUCUCAAAGUAAAUGAAUUUAUCCCUUUCCUGAGAGCAGGUUUUUCUUAGGAGGAGAAGGAAGUAGGAGGCACUGAAGAGAGUUGGUGCUGGGAAGCAAGGUUUAGGAGAAUGGAGCAGAAAGAGGAGAGGGAGGAUCCUGGUGACAGACCGUCAACUCAGUCACUCUUUUGUUGAAGGGCUGGCCUUGGGAGCAUCCCUGCUGAAAUGGGUGUUAACUUGCCACCUGGAGCAUAUUACUUAGAAAUCAACUAUGUUUUCCGAUAUUAACACUAUUAAAGAUUCUUUAAUGUAUAGGCACACAAAGACUUAUAGCAAUGGAAAAAUAGGUAGCAAUAAAAUAUUUGGUGCAACAAGAGAUAGGGAGUUAACCCCCGACCCCAAAUCAGAAGGACUAUACUUGUUCAUAGGAAGAAGAUAAACUGAUAUUACUUUAAAGAGUGCAAAUCACAGGGCUGGGACGAGGGUAAGGCACUUGCAUGGCCCUGAGAGCGGGCACCUCUUUGAAUUUUACGCCCUAGGUGCCUCGCUCACCUCACCCUAGUCCUGGCCCUAGCAAAUCAUAUUAAAGCGAAAGCUCACCAUUGUGUCACAGACUUGAUAAUGGAAGGUGGAACGAGUGAGGAACAGAGCACUGAGCAUGAACUCAUCUUUUUCCCAACUUGUUCAUUGAUGAGGAAGAGGGCAGGUGCGUGGACAGAUCUGCUCAGACUGACAGGUACAGAGAGACUGCAAUCGGGUCUGUGUUGUCCAGAUAGUUACACUGGAUGUCAGGUGCAGUGCUUGUUAGGAGAGCCUGGUAGGAUCUCCUCUGUCUUUGCACGUUCAAGGUAAUUUAUCCAGAUCAACUGGUCAGUUUGUGGUCAUUAAGCUAACAUUAAUUAUUUUGCUUCCUGUUGUCUCACUUCCUUUAUGGGUGAGUUGUUGUGCUAGGGAUGCAGUUCAUGGGAUUUGGGGCUGAGGGAUAAGUUGGGGCUGAGGAAUAAGUUGGGGCUGGUGGGGGAGGCCCAGUCAGGAGCUGAGGCAGGCCAAGUAGUACAGGAUAAGGAGAGGAGACACCAGCAAAGCUUGCUAUUGUACCAAGAAUAACUACCCUCAAAAACAUGUACUGACUACCCACCAAAUGCAAAGCAUCCUUGGUUAACAAUUAACCUCCGCUCCUGGGGAUGGUGACUAGAUCAAAGUCAGGCUAGCAGAGCCAUCUGUUGCUACUAACUGGAAUGGGGAGGAAAAAAGAGGAUAGGGACGACUUGAAAUGGAAGCUGAGCUCCUAGGGCCAACUUCAUUUCACUCAAAUCUCUUCUCUAUUCCACCUUCAAAAAUUAUUAUCAUUAUUAUUUAUACUAGUAAUUGUAGUAGUGGUGGGUUCUCUGCAAGCCUUUCUGAGAGGGGCUUUCAGCCUCUCUUCUCCAGUCUCAGCAGCGUAGGUGCAGAAGGCAGCAAACAUUGUGGUAAGUGCCUGGGUGGGAGAGAGAGUGGAGUUAUGAUAAUCAAAGGUAGGAGAGAGGUUGAGUGUUAGGAGUGGGGAAGAUGCUUUGUGUUCUGUUAAUUAGUGAUUAGUAGAAAUUUUACAGUUUGGUUGUUUAUUUGGGACGUCUACCUGUUGCAAAAUAUUAAAUGAGGCCAGGUGCAGUGGCUUACUCCUUUAAUCCCAGCACUUUGGGAGGCCAAGGCGAGAGGAUCGCUUGAGCUCAGGAGUUCAAGACCAGCGUGGGCAACAUAGCAAAACCCCCAUCUUUACAAAAAAUUAAUUUAAAAAAUUAAAUGAAUACUUCCGGUCUUAAAUGUUCUCUCUGACCAUAUGAUUUCUGCCCCAAAUCCUCUUGUGCUAAUGGGAACACCACUGCGUGGGCCACAGUGAUGAUGUAGAAGAUAUUCUAAAAAUUCCAGGCAUAUAGAGUAUUGUAGAGGAAAACAAGACUAAAGGUAACUGACAAACAUCAAGGUGUCUGAGAAUUCAGGUUCAGAAUCUUUUGGGAAAACCUCCAGAGGUAGCAAGGUGAGGGGAGAGGCAAAACCCAUUAGAAGUAGUAAACAAGAAACUUCCAGAAAAGUCCACAGAAGUAACAAGGCCUAUACUAUGUGAGUCCCAUACUCAGCUUUAACGUUCAACCAGUCAUAAUGGUUCCCAAGGAGACCCUGGUGUCCUUUCAUUUUUGCUAAGCAAAAGCACAAACGCUCCUUCAUUUACUACAGAGGAAAAUGUCUGUUUUUUGGAAUUCUAAGUCUGGAGCAGACAAAUGUGGCAUUCAUAUAUAAACUGAGGCCAGGGAUGAAUUGAUUUUAUUUUGGGCAAAAUCCCUGGAAUUUGGAAUUUGGUUAAGAACUUCACACCAAGUAGUUCUAGUACUUUCAAAAGCAACUGAGCCUAGCUGUUUUAUUAUUUUAAGUGUCGAAGUGCUGGUUGCAAGGGAGUUGGUGGGCCUGGCCUGUUUCCAGAAGUCUCAGAUUCAGAACUAUAACAACAAAGGGCCUAGGCCUAGGGCUUCUCUUGUGAGAGGCCCAAGUUUUCUCAGUACUUAGUGUGGUUUUUCAGCUGCUCUGUCCAGCUGGAGUGUGGGCAGUUGAGCUAAAAGGUGGCUUCUCAUUGGGCAAUACGACCUAUCAAAGUUGAGAUCUGCUUGUCUCUGGAACCUUACUGCAUCCUCCAGGAGGUUGACCAUUGAAUCUAUUGGGUGAGGGGUGAAGUAGGAAGGGGCUGGGGAACUCUCUUUGUGAAGCAGGCUACAAUUUCAUUCAACUGUUCUUUUUGCCUCUUGAAGACAGUAGACAAUUAACUUUCCAUCAUUGGUCAGCAGGUUUUCUUUGCUCAGUGCUUUGUCUUCCUCCCCAACCUCCCAGAAAUCAGGCAUACAAAAAUCAAAUGAAUCACUGCUCUUGCUCUGCUUAGAAAAUUGAGCUGACAAGAAUAGUUAGUGCCUAUAAGCUUCGUGGGGGGUGGGGGCAGGGAGGGGUCGCAAUGAUUAUUCUGAAGCUCUUUCAGUAUGCCAUUUACCCAGGUUCUUAUGCUCUCCCCCAGCAAGGUUAAUUGAAAGCUGGUCAAACACAGAACCUAAAUGGCAAAAAGUAGCCCUUUUGUGUGUGUGUGUGUGUGUGUGUGUGUGUGUGUGUGUGUGUGCAUUAUGGGCCAUAGCAACUGGCAAGACUGCCUUUUAGAUUUUGGAUAGAUCCUUUUAGUUUAUAUGUUCUUGGUUUUUGGAACAGAGUCGGACUUCCUUUAAACAAAACCAAACCAACCACAAACCACGAUCUGAAUUGACUGGUGGGGGGCAAGAUGCACUUACUUUCCAUUAUCCUUGAGCCUUUGAUGAUGCUGUUCCUUCAGUUAAUUACUUCCUGUAAUGAAUUUUAUAUGCAAAUGAAAUGAGAGUUCUUAGAAUGC
rnacentral:lncRNA from 1 species